AGCGAACGCUGGCGGCAGGCCUAACACAUGCAAGUCGAACGGACCCUUCGGGGUUAGUGGCGGACGGGUGAGUAACACGUGGGAACGUUCCUUUAGGUUCGGAAUAGCUCCUGGAAACGGGUGGUAAUGCCGAAUGUGCCCUUCGGGGGAAAGAUUUAUCGCCUUUAGAGCGGCCCGCGUCUGAUUAGCUAGUUGGUGAGGUAACGGCUCACCAAGGCGACGAUCAGUAGCUGGUCUGAGAGGAUGACCAGCAACACUGGGACUGAGACACGGCCCAGACUCCUACGGGAGGCAGCAGUGGGGAAUCUUGCGCAAUGGGCGAAAGCCUGACGCAGCCAUGCCGCGUGAAUGAUGAAGGUCUUAGGAUUGUAAAAUUCUUUCAACGGGGACGAUAAUGACGGUACCCGGAGAAGAAGCCCCGGCUAACUUCGUG
rnacentral:rRNA from 1 species